rnacentral:sRNA from 1 species
UCUCGUGUUUUAUAAGAGUUACUAUGCA